CUCCUUAAGCGAAAAAGUUUCAUCGCCAACUGCCACUUUUUGUAGAGCGGUAGCCUGACGGACCGUUCUUUCGUAUAAGCAAAUGAAAAAUGGCGUUGAGCCAAGAUGGCCCAAGUCGACGAGAGAUCUCGCGGGACCACUUAUAUGCACCGUGUCUGGUCCACCAACCGUAGAUAAGGCGACCCUGUGGUCAUUAUCAACUCACUCGCAACCCUCCCCCGCCGCCACCCUCAGCUUCCAACUCCUCUGGGCAGCGAGUUAAUUACUCCGGAAUUCCGUACGUCUCUGGAUUUCCCACGAAUCCCUUCCGUUUCAUUUUCUUCUUAGGAAGACCUUUCCCUUGUAUCGAAAAUCCUAACUAGACGUCAAUGCUCUUUACCCUUUCAGCGAAGAACGAAGGAAUUUACUAACUCGUUCCAUCGCGUAGUUCUUUCAGCACUUCGCUCGGCCAUAGGAAGCCGAGCUGAUUUAUUGUUUAACGAGCAAUCUGUUCCGCGAACGCUUCCAAGACCAAAGUAAACGUUACAGAGGGGGAAAAAUGGACGGGGUGAGAUGCUCUCCAUUGGAUGAUCGACUUGGUUAAACGAUACAGGGUGCACUCGAUCGGGCAGUUUGUCUAGCGAUAGCCAAUCGCGGUUGGAGAAAGUGGAUAUAACGGAACCAAUAAUGAGCCGUGACCAGCGGCUGUGAUCCAUCAAUCUGCAUCAGUCGGCUCAAACGACCCCUAGCAACGCAUCGGGGGCAGCAAACAAUUAGAACAGCUCUAAUGCCCAUACCCCUGCUUACAAGGGAACACUUGCAAACUGUCGGGCUCCAAGUUCGAUCAAACUUUCCGCAAACUCUGUUCGGAUCGAUGUAAGAACUGUGCUGUGUUUGCUUGCUGCUACUUUCGACUUUAACAGAUAGGAAGACUUGAAGGACACAUACUCCAAAAUAUCUGAAUAAAUUAUGUCACGACGAACAUUUGGGGAAACCUGGGUACCAGUAAUAAAAAUUUCCUCGAAAGAGGAGUUACGGCGCAAUGGAACUCUGCCAGAUGAGGGAAACGAAGGAAACCGUCUGGAAGUUUGUCCACGACUCGCGAAAGUCCUGUCUACGAUGGAGUGUUCUGUUCUACGUGCACGUCGAUUGUAGCCUCGACUUUUAUGCACGAGCCAGUUGUAACGAUCAGCGAUUCAUAAAAGUUCCGAGGAACGGUAGAACGCGGAAUACAGAUCGCUAUAUUGCGUCGGAUGGAACGAUCGAUAAACAGAAAAAGCUGGGAACGUUGUUGCAGAAUUUUCCCGAUUACUCCUGGAAUAUACAGCAAGACAAAGGUUAACAUACAUACAGAAUUGUUUAAAGAAUUGAAGAGGAUGAAUGCUUGCCUUAUAAAAGAGCAGGAUAAUAAAUUUUGCGACUCUUCUGAUGAAUCACCCAUACAUUUCGCCAAGUUCCUCGUGCGAAAGUUUCGUCGCGCGCCUCGAUUGUCCGCCAACUAAUUUCGGCUGUAAUUCGCUCUGGGAAUGCAGGAAUGCGGAUCGGCCUCCACGCUUUUGGGAAAAAGGAAGAAAAAUUAGCGGAGGCAACAUUCUAACGUUUAAAUACCUUCAUCGAACAUCGUCCAACGAAACACCUAAACACAGGGAGAUGAACUUCUACCACUUGCACAACGAACCCCUCAAUUAUGGUAUAAUUUUGUUCGCAAUGCAAUUUGCGUUGGACGUGGAACAACGAAAUAAAUUUUGGGGGGUGGAACAACUUCGCCAUCGACCUGGACUCGUGUAGUCCUCGACGUGUCGAAAACCGGAAGUCACCAGCUGAACGCGAACUCCAAGCGAGCGUGGAGUAAUAGCUGGGAACCGCUCGCCCCGUCCUCUUUAUUAAAUUUAUGGAAACUUCGCGUGCAUUUAUCGAAAGGGUCGGCGUGAAUGCGCGUCGUCGUCGUACGGUGUCCUGAUGCAACUCGAGCGUCGCAACUGGGCUAAUCGAAUCACGACCCGCGUACAGCCGCUAACUAAGCUUUUCUGUGCGCGCUCGGGUGGUGCAUUAAUUGGACCGAGUUUCUAUUUCGUUUGGUAGCCGUGUUUGUCAGUCGUCAAAGGGUCGGAAGAAAACCUCUGGCGAAUGUAUAAAAGGCGAAAAAAAAGGGACGGCUUUUUUUCGCGGAUGGAAAAGAUGGUAUUUAAAAGGACCUUUUUGAAAUUCGCGAGCUUUUCCUUUGAUUGAACGUCUACAGUUCUCGGGAGAAAUGAUGGAAGAAGUAGUUCUGAACGAAGAAAAUUGGUGUGGUUGGGAAAUUAUACCGAAAUCUCUGGUGCUCCUGCGUUAUCAGACUUGGAAUAUUUUUUGGGUAGAUAAUUAACACCGUCAGUGCCAGACAUACUCGUGAAAACAUUUACAAAGCUACAAUUAUGUUUUUAUACAAUUUGGAACUGUAUGAUUUAA